AGUGAACGCUGGCGGUAGGCCUAACACAUGCAAGUCGAACGGCAGCACAGUAAGAGCUUGCUCUUACGGGUGGCGAGUGGCGGACGGGUGAGGCAUACAUCGGAAUCUACUUUUUCGUGGGGGAUAUCGUAGGGAAACUUACGCUAAUACCGCAUAUGACCUACGGGUGAAAGCAGGGGAUCUUCGGAGCUUGCGCGAUAGAAUGAGCCGAUGUCGGAUUAGCUAGUUGGCUGGGUAAAGGCCCACCAAGGCAACGAUCCGUAGCUGGUCUGAGAGGAUGAUCGGCCACACUGGAACUGAGACACGGUCCAGACUCCUACGGGAGGCAGCAGUGGGGAAUCUUGGGCAAUGGGCGAAAGCCUGAUCCAGCAAUGCCGCGUGGGUGAAGAAGGCCUUCGGGUUGUAAAGCCCUUUUGUUGGGAAAGAAAAACAGCAGAUUUAUCCCCCGAUGUUCUGACGGUACCUAAAGAGCAAGCACCGGCUAACUUCGUG
rnacentral:rRNA from 1 species